rnacentral:rRNA from 1 species
GUGGGGAAUUUUGGACAAUGGGCGAAAGCCUGAUCCAGCCAUGCCGCGUGCAGGAUGAAGGCCUUCGGGUUGUAAACUGCUUUUGUACGGAACGAAAAGACUCCUUCUAAUAAAGGGGGUCCAUGACGGUACCGUAAGAAUAAGCACCGGCUAACUACGUGCCAGCAGCCGCGGUAAUACGUAGGGUGCAAGCGUUAAUCGGAAUUACUGGGCGUAAAGCGUGCGCAGGCGGUUAUAUAAGACAGAUGUGAAAUCCCCGGGCUCAACCUGGGAAUUGCGCUUGUGACUGCAGUGCUGGAGUACGGCAGAGGGGGAUGGAAUUCCGCGUGUAGCAGUGAAAUGCGUAGAUAUGCGGAGGAACUCCGAUGGCGAAGGCAGUCCCCUGGGCCUGUACUGACGCUCAUGCACGAAAGCGUGGGGAGCAAACAGGAUUAGAAACCCGUGUAGUCC